rnacentral:rRNA from 1 species
UACAGAGGUCCCAAGCGUUGUUCGGAUUCAUUGGGCGUAAAGGGUGCGUAGGCGGCGCGGUAAGUCGGGUGUGAAAUCUCGGGGCUUAACUCCGAAACUGCAUUCGAUACUGCCGUGCUUGAGGACUGGAGAGGAGACUGGAAUUUACGGUGUAGCGGUGAAAUGCGUAGAUAUCGUAAGGAAGACCAGUGGCGAAGGCGGGUCUCUGGACAGUUCCUGACGCUGAGACACGAAAGCCAGGGGAGCGAACGGG